CCUACGGGAGGCUGCAGUGAGGAAUAUUGGUCAAUGGACGAGAGUCUGAACCAGCCAAGUAGCGUGAAGGAUGACUGCCCUAUGGGUUGUAAACUUCUUUUAUAUGGGAAUAAAAUGUUCCACGUGUGGGAUUUUGUAUGUACCAUAUGAAUAAGGAUCGGCUAACUCCGUGCCAGCAGCCGCGGUAAUACGGAGGAUCCGAGCGUUAUCCGGAUUUAUUGGGUUUAAAGGGAGCGUAGGUGGAUUGUUAAGUCAGUUGUGAAAGUUUGCGGCUCAACCGUAAAAUUGCAGUUGAAACUGGCAGUCUUGAGUACAGUAGAGGUGAGCGGAAUUCGUGGUGUAGCGGUGAAAUGCUUAGAUAUCACGAAGAACUCCGAUUGCGAAGGCAGUUCACUGGACUGCAAAUGACACUGAGGCUCGAAAGUGUGGGUAUCAAACAGGAUUAGAUACCCCUGUAGUC
rnacentral:rRNA from 1 species